CACAAGUGCUGUUGAGCACUUCUAGCACUGUGUAUUAGGUCAUCCUGAGGCGCUGGAAUAACAAGGGCUAGGAUCUUAGUGGCUUCAGUCACUCAGCUAUUUCGGAGCAUCUCUGAGGAUAAGAAUGAGAAGUGGAAAGCAUGAGCCUGUAGAAGAAACCAUUGAGGAUGGAAUGGUCCAGCGCACAGACAUGGGAUGUUUCUUUAAACACCAAUUUAAAAGAUUCCCUAUUCAUCGGGACCAGGCAGGGUCCAAGAAAAUGUGGCCUCGCUUGGGGCAGGAAGAACCUUUCCCCUAAAUGUCCAAGCCCUGGGGGAUGGAGCAUUGAUCUGGGAGUCGAGUCUCCAACGCUGUGGCUCACCAACUGCGACCAGAACUGGAGAUACCACAUUCCAUGGGGGGAGGGGAGCUUUCUCAGCAUCCACCCUGCGCAGAAAUCCACCCCGUGCAGUUCAAGGAGGUCUAAUUUGAGACUGACAGGCUGAGUGAGCCAAAGAAAACCAAGGCGUCUGAGCUGGGAAAUCCCAGUGUGAGUGCAGAGCUUCAGCCAUCAGGAGAUUCCUCACCUCCUCGCCGUGAGGACAGGGAGCUGUGGCGAUUGCUGCGUGGGACUCUCUGGGGCAGGUCAGAGGCUGCAGAAGGGCGCCAGCAGUCACGGCUCUGAGCCACCCCAGGGAGCGGGCUCUCCAGGGCCCAGGGCUGAGUCUGGGUGGUGUGGAGGAUGGUCUGCAAAACUGAACAAUAGCCCUUUGAGAAAUGUGUUUUCCAAAGAAAGACUUAAGUUCAACACAUUCAUUUUCUUGCUGCUAAAACCUAACUUUACAAAAUAAC
rnacentral:lncRNA from 1 species